rnacentral:lncRNA from 1 species
GUAUCAACAGGUAGGCAUAUCUUCAGAUUAUCUUUGACUCUCAGUUACUUUCAGUUAUUAUAUUAUCACCUCAGUUUCGGCUUUCAGUUAUUCUGUUGCCUUACAUACUCGGUACAUUAUUUUUUAUUGACGUCCCUUUUGCUGGGGAUGUUGCAUUUCAUGCCUGUAGUUCCAGAUAGACAGCUGGAUAGCCCUUCCAAGUAGACUGAGCCAACCAUCAGCUUGGUUGGUAAGCUCCACUUCCCCGGAGUUACCAGGUCUAUACCUUGGAGUCCACUUUAUAUAUAUAGGUUUGAUGGGUAGGUCGAGGCUUUGUCCCGUCAGUAUCGUGGCUUUACCAGCCCUAUGUAGAUGUUUAGUUUGGUAUUGCUGGUUGUAGCGUUAUUUUCAGAUGAUUCAGAAUAUGGCCUCAUCGGCCUAAGUUGAGGGUUACCCCUCCAGAAUUCACAGUUACAGAGUGGUACGCUCAGGCUGAGUAUAGCACCGGGUGCCGGCCACGCCCCUUUAGGUUUGGGGCGUGACAAAUUAAUCCCUCCACAGUUUCAUAUAGAGAACAUAUGCAUGAAUACAUCAAGUCAUGUCUCAUGGAUUUGCAUAUAGAUAAAAUAUGUACCAAGAAUCAUCUCAUCAAGUAAGACACCGUAUAGAGAAGAUAUACAUAAAGGCAUGUAUACUUUCUGGAGCUAGCAUAUAGAGAAGAUAUGCAGUAAAAAUAAUGAAUAUAUCCUGGGAGUUUCCAAUAGAAAAGAGAUGCAAAGUCCAACCAAGGAUCCACAUUCCAUAAACCACGUCAACCAGAAACCCGUCAAUUUUUCACAACCUACGUGUACACCAUCAAGAGAGAAAUAUGAGAGGGUAACCCUAGGGCGAUGGAUCCUUAUCCACACACUGCAUGGACAACUCACGUGCUGCACAGAUAAUGCAUGUGCCAAUAAUAACAACCGCAUGGACAACUCACGUUUCAUAAUCAUAAUACUACACGGACACCUCACGUGCCAAAAAACUCAUCCCCCAUGGACCACUUACAUGCUGCCAAUCCAACCCAUCACUCAUAAGGCAUAUAUAAGAAUACAUGUAUACGAAUAACGAAUAUCAAAUCACAUACUCAUGGACUGGAGAAGAUAGUAUGUUAAGGCGUAUGCAUGUGCGAGUGUACAACUAUAGCUCAAAUCAGGUGGAUACGCCAUACAACAGCAAAUAUCAUGCUCCACAGGAAAUCAACACCUACACAUGAUCUCUAGCAUGAUUCUAGGAGCUCAUGAAGUCAUACAAACAUAUAAAGCAUAAUAGCAAGAAGCACAAUAUCCAAAUCAAGGCAUAGUACAGCCUAAAGACUACUCUUGUCAUGAAUCAUACGUAGCACUCGUAUAUACACUCGUCACCUCGCAUAUAUAUCGCUUCUCACACAUUUCAAUUAGACAAACAAAGCCACAUCCUAAGAGCUAUUCUCUCAACAAGAUUAGGCAAGAUACUUACCUAAACCGGGCUAGCCCGAUGUUCCAAAAUCACAUUUCUUGAGAAAUCACCUCUAACCGGUUGAAAUCUAGCAAAACAUCAACCAAGGAAGUCUACUAAUGACAUAGGAAAUGACCCCAAUCCAUAAAUCCUCGAUCUUUAAUAAAUUUACAAAAAGUCAACCCGAGCUCGUGCAUCCCAAAUUCGAAACCAAUACAAAAAUUCUAUAACCCAUAACCUGCUGAAUCCAAAUAUAUGAUUAGAUUCAAACACCGAGUCCAAAUCGAUACUCAAAUCCUCAAAAUACACUCUCUUAAAGUAUAGGCAAAAUCCCAAAUUUUCCUUCAAAAUUCCAUGAUUAAAGUGUGUAAAUCCUUGGGAAAUCAAUGUAUACAAUCUAAUCCAAGUAUAAAUUACUUACCCACAAAGUAGUAGCGAAAAUAUCCUCCAAAAUCGCCUCUUACCGAGAUCUAAAAUCCAAAUAAUGAAAUAUGAGCCAAACCUCGAAACAUAAUAAGCUGCCAGUGAUUCCUUAUAUGCGGACAAUAACGUCGUACCUGCGACCACGCAUCUGCUAGCCAUUGCCCGCAUCUGUGAACCCUACUGAGACCGGCCAACCUCGCAUAUGCAAACCGAGCAUCGCAUAUGUGGUUGUACAUGUGCACAUAAAGACUCACAGAAGCGCCUUCGCAUCUACGUCACAAGCUCCGCAAAAGCGACCUCUCACCUCAGGUCUCAAUCCUACAUUUUUUAAUGUAUAAUCCGCAGGUGCAACCUCGUACCUCCGCUCCCUCAUACGCAAAAGCGAUAAACUCCUCGACCACCUCAUCUUCCCCGAAGCGAUAACCUUUCCGCAAAAUCAGCAUCGCACCUGCAACCAAUCCUCCGCACGUGCGAAACACCAGUAACAUAACUACUAAACAAGAUCAAAAUCAUCCAAAACUUAUCCAAAACACACCCCAGACCCUUGGGACCCCUUCCAAAAAUGCCAACAAGUCCCAAAACAUAACAUAGACCUACACAAGACUUCAAAUCAUACAAAAUGACAUUAAAACCACAAAUCAUAUCACAAUUCAAGCUUAAUGAACUAAUGAAACUUCCAACAUUCAGAAAUCAUGUCGAACCACGUCUAACCAACUCAGAAUAACCCCAAAUUUUGCACACAAGUUCCAAAUGACAUAACAAACUUGUUCCAACCCCUGUAACAACAAUCCAAACCCGGUAGCCACAGGUUCAACUCCCAGUUAAACGUAUGAACCUUCCAAACCUUCAAAAUGCAAACUUUUGUCAAAUGGAGCCAAAACCUUUUCGGAACGUCCAAAUUCAAAUCCGAAUAUACGCCCAAAACCAAAAUUACCAUACGGACCUACUGAAUCUAUUAAAUCUUGAUUCUGAGGUCGUUUAUUUAAAAGUCAAACCUUGGGCAAUUCUUUCAACUUAAAGGUUUCAAAGUGAGAAAACACUCUAUUAAAUCAACUUCAAACCACUCAAAAAUCAAAACCAAUCCUGCAUGCAAGUCAUAAUAUAUCAUAUGAAGUUGCUCGAUGUCUCGAAUUACAUAAUGUAACGCAAAAACUCACAACGACUGAUCAGAUCAUUACAUUCUCUCCCACUUAAACAUACGUUUGUCCUCAAACGUGCUAAAAGUCAUUCCAAUGUCAUCCAAUCACUAUAUAAACUUGUCGUACACAUACCCAUAGGUGAUCCCACAUCACCACAAUCCAUAUAAGUCCAUUAGCACAAUCCUGACUGAAGCUUCUUUCUUCAACCAUAGACCAUAAAACUUGAACAAAUUUCUAACAUUCGGAACUAUUUGUAAGAUUUGAUUCUUGAAUAUAUACACUGUAAAAGUCUCCCCAAGUUACGUCAAGCCAUAACUAUAUUCUCAAGAUGUAACCACAUGAGGUACCACAUAACUCAUAUGCUCGUAGUAAUAUCUUCGGACCCACAAUAUCUGCUCAUUACUAAAUCCGGUACCAUUAACAUACCUCAUAUCAAGUAAAACGUUGCUCCUAUCCUUCGUAACACUACUAAUAAUGAAAGAAACACAUAGAAACUCAUAACCACCCAUCAGAUCAACAGGUCGUGGAGCUCUCUUGCCCGACAAGAACCAUUGCAAAAUUCUAAGCUGACUACUGACAAUUAUUCUUCCAAACAUACCUUAACCAAAUUUAAUGGCACUAAUUCCAGGCCCAAAUAUCUCAUUCUGUGCAGUAUAAGCUGCUAGACUGAUAAGCCACACCAAAUUACACAUAUAGCUACGUACGAUGCAAUUCGUGCACCCUCAAGCCACAACUCAGAUAUAACUGAACCAUCCAAUAAGUUUAACAGAUAAAACCACAAGGCAGAAUGCUAUGAACCCAUGACACAAGAGAGAAGCAAAACACAUGAGAUAAGCACAAAGGAUCAUAUUGUAACAUAACUCUGCUGCAGUGCAUAACCCGAUCCAAUAUACCAACCUACAUGGAAUACCCAUUGAGCCAUGAUGCUCAAAAUCAACAAGCACAUGUCUAUCAAUAGUAAGAACACAAAUCACACAAAGUGCACAACCAUAACCAUGAAGAAAUAGAUAGCACAAUAUACUAUAGACAGGAAAAGCGCGAUUGAGGUGCCAUACGCAACUCAACAUCCCAAGAGCCAUCCGACUCAAGUCUCGCUCCAAGGCCUAAACGAAUCCACAUUGGGCGUGUGAAUAGUCAUGUAGUCCCAGAACUCAUUGUAGCAUAAGAUAGUAACACAUGAAACAUCAUAACAUGAAUAAGAUCAACUCCAGUCGAUGACACACCCCUAAUAAUAGUUAUGCGAGUAAAUAAACCUGAUUUGAUGUGGAAUACACAUUUUUAUUAGGCAUAUGAAUGUGAUCCCAAAUAGGAACCUCAAGAAUAUAGGAACCUCCAUAACUGAUCCCAACUCCUCCACUCAAUAGGCGUCAAGAAAGCUAAGUAUAUCAUGCCCGACCGUCGCAUCAACCAUGUGAUCGAUGUUAGGCAAAGAAAAAGAGUCCUUAGGGCACGCCUUUUUCAAGUCUUUGUAAUCUAUGCACAUUCUUAAUUUAUUCCCCGUUUUAGGCACUACCACUACGUAAGCUAACCAAUCCGAGUACUUAACUUCCCGAAUGGAACCUAUUUUAAGGAGUUUGGAUACCUUGUCUUUGAUGAAUGCAUGCUUGACUUUGGACUGAGGCCUCCUCUUCUGUUUAACCGGGUGGAUAUUCAAAUCCAAGAUCAACUUAAGAGUGGUUAUUUAUGGCGGGAUCCAUGUAAUAUCAAGAUGGGACCAAGCGAAAUAAUCUAUGUUAGCUAAAAGGAAUUUAAUGAGUUUUUUCCUAAGCUCGGGAGUUAACCUUGUGCCUAGGUAUACCUUCCGAUCGGGAAAGUUUUCGAUCAAUAUGAAUUGCUCCAGCUCCUCGACCGUUGAUCUGGUGGCAUCAGAAUCAUCAGGGGUGAUGAAUGACCUAGGGACACCAUAAUCAUUAUCCUCGCAUGCUCUUUGCUUUUUCGGUUCGGUCGGGGCAGGUAUCAGUGAUUGCUAUUUAGUUUCUUCCUUCAUAACCGUCUCAGUGUUCUUUGAUGUUGAGAGCGCAGACAUCGGGAUGUUACACCCUAUGUUUUCGUACGUGAGAGUACGUCGUAAGUCAAUUGAUGUGAACUCAGAAAUGAGAUCAUCUUUGAAAGUUCAUAAAGUAAGUUAAUAAUAUUACCUUGAAGGUUACCAAUAUUUAAGAUCAUGUAUAACAAGUUACCAAAAGGUUCGGAAGACUUAGAAGCUAAAAAAUUAAAGAAGAUAAGUUUUGUCGAAAGUCGACAACUUGGGAAUGUUUUAACAUGUACAUUUGGGGUAAUACUAGGGUGCUUAACAUGACAAGGAUAUUGGUUUAUGAGUUAUUUUAGUCAUAUGAUAGAUGUGUGUUAUGUUUUGAAGUCAAGUGAGUUGUGGAACAAAAGUUGGCAAAGGUCAUCACAAGUUACAUUCAUAAUGUGCUGAAAAUUAGGUCAAAUGUAGCAGAGCUUUUAUCCUAAUAUACUUGGAAUUACAGGAUAAUCCACAUAUCAAAUUUAAUAUAUACGAGUCUAGUUUCUAAUACAUUAAACCAUUUGUCAAUGAGACAUCAAAGAGAUAGAUAUUUGCAUUUUCGCGAGACUGCGCAAGCAGCUCCCCAUGGGACCCACUUAGGUGGUGGUCGAGCUACUUCUCUUUAAAUACAACUUCGACGACCUUUAUUUCUCAUUUUUCAAACCAAUCUCGUCCCUACACUUCUCCUAACCCUCCUAAAGAUGUACCAUAAGGUUUUGAAGUGAUUACACCAUAUUUCAACAUCAAAAGUUAGUUCUAGUGCAGAACAACACCUCUUUGAGGUUGUGUUGUCAUUGAGGAGCAUUGUGGGUUGUGUUUGGCUGAAAUUUCAAGUUGUUGAUACUGGCUAAGGUGGGUAUAACAGCCUAAUAAUUGUGCUUAAGCUUGCUUGUAUGUUCGUUAAGUUGUUAGGAUGAUAAACUAUAAGAUAAUACUUGGAUUAGCUUGAGAUGUUGUUGUUCUUGAUGGAUUGAUUUGGAAGUUGCUCUUAUUGACUUUAAGUGGAUGGAAAUUAUGGAAAAUAAGUUGGCUAUGAUAUUUUAAGUAUGAUUAUGUUCAUUUACAUGUCAAUCAUGUUAAGGAAAUUGGUAACUAGAAAAAAAGAAAUGGCUAUAUAGCAUUUGAAAGUUGUCCACAAUGAUAUUAUCUUGUGUUGGGCUAUUUCGGGUAACUUUGAAAUUGAGUACAAGGUUGGAAAUUCUUUAAACGGUAUUGGUUAUUAUACUGGAUAUAUUACUAAGUUUAAGAAUGAAUGAUAAUGGGGUUGAAGGAUGCUAAAAGGAUUCAAUCCGAGCUUGCCUCUCGUCGUGAUAUGUUGAUGACUUGUUAAUGAAAUAUUUUGUACCCUAUUGUUGAUGUUGCUCUUAUUGUAUUUCUCUGGUUGUUGUUGUAGGUAUAUGGUAUUAGAGGAGGCCCUUGUUACAGGGGAGAUACUUUCCAAAUUUACAUAAACGAGCUACUAGUAUAAGUUGUGGACUUAGCCCUUCUUUCCUUUUGGCAUGAUCCAUAUGAUACAAACGAAACGAGUAAACGUGAAACAUUCACAAAUGACUCUAUUCUUAGAAGUACUAGGGGUGACUAUGUUCUUGAUUCCCCACGUGUUCCAUUAUUUUAUCGUCUAUUCAUGUGUCUCACAAAAUACGUAAGUUGAUAAAGUUUAUUUCAUGAUAUUAACCGAAUGUAUAUUGAUCUUAUGACAUCCCGAGAGAUCUUAGUGACUUACUUCUUAUGCAUUGCAUUAAUUUAUACAAGUAUAUUGACCCAUGACCAGAUAGCGUUAUAUAUGCAUAUAUUAAAUAUAUAUGGGGUAUGGGGAAAGGUUAUGGCAUUAUAUACGCACCACCACAUGAUCAGCUAGUAUGCAUUGAUGAUUUAGCCGACAGAGGCCGAGAUGAUAUGAUGGGUUGCCCUCAGAGGCUUGAUGAUGUUAUGUACGCAUAUACUUAUGCAUGAUAUGACAUUUAUAUGCAUAUGCAUGACAUUAUCAAUGUUUCAUGAUUCAUAGAGCUACUUAGACUUACAGGUUGAGUUGUUUACUCCAUGUUUCUUUCAUGUCUUUUAUAUAUUGCUUUCAUGCCUUAAAUACUCGGUACUUUAUUUGUGGCGACGUCUCUUUUGCCUGGGGAUGCUACGUUUCAUGCCUGUAGGUCUCUAUUAAGAGGUUAAAGUCUUAGUAGGCUAUCAUCUCAACGGAAGGUGUUGGUGCAAUCUACUAGCUCCGGAGUUACCUAUUUGGUAAGUAUGCUUUAGACAUGUAUUGAUUGGUAUGGCGGGGCCCUGUCCCGACCUUUAUGAUGUUUAUGUACUCUUAGAGUCUUGUAUACAAAUGUCUUGUACAUGGAUGAUUGUAUGGCCUUGUCGGCCUAUGUUUUGAGUGUACAAAUGAUCAUUUCGGUCUUAUAGGCUUGUAUGUCACAUGAGUAAGUUUGUAUACCAUGUUGGGUCGUCCUAUGUCAAGUAUUCUAUUAUAUUUCAUUUUGGACAUCUCAUGACGGACUUUCUGCCUCAUUUACCUAUGAUAGUAUGAUAAGAAGGAUAUGUUAUGUUGGUAACCGGUUGAGUUGGGCAUUGGGUGUCCGUUUGGGUCGUGACACAGGAUCACCUCAUCGACUGCGAACUUGCGGCUGGCUGCUCUCCGUAAACCAUCUUGAUUCCUCUCGAUGUGGGGAACUUCAGUGCCUGGUGUAGUGUCGAGAGUACUUCCCUCAUGUUGUGAAACCAUGGUCUUUCAAAUAGAGCAUUAUAUCUCAUAUCCCCUUCGAUCACACAUAAUUUUGUUUCCUGAAUGGUCCCGAUGGUGUUCGCCGGUAUGGUUAUCUCACCUUUAGUAGUUUCGCAUGCCAUGUUGAAUCCGUUUAAAACCCGGACUGCCGACACUAUUUGGUCUUGUAGACCCAACUGCUCUACGACCCUCGAUCUGACGAUAUUGGCCGAGCUACCUGGAUCAAUCAACACACGCUUAACUCGAGAUUUAUUUAUAAGUACAGAUAUUGUCAGUGCAUCAUUAUGUUCUUGCACGAUGCCUUUGGCAUCCUCAUCAUUAAACGAAAUGGUUCCCUCCGAGAUGUAAUCUCGGGUUCAUUUUUCCCUUGUGAUGGACAACUUAGUGCGCUUUAGCAUUGGUCCCUGGGGGACGUCAACUCUACCAAUGAUUAUGUUAAUGACGUGUUGUGGUUCCUCUUGUUCGGUCUAUUUGUUCGAGUCACUAUUCCUGAAGUGAUUUUUGGCUCGAUCACUCAAAAAUUCCCGGAGAUGCCUCUUAUUGAAUAACCGGACCACUUCUUCUUUUAACUGUCGGCAGUCCUCAGUUCUAUGGCCAUGAGUACCAUGAUACUUACAUAUCAAGUUAGGGUCGGACUGCAAUGGUCGAUGCCACUUGAUAUCUUUAACGCGCCCGAUGGCAGAUACCAGGCUGGCAGCAUUGACAUUGAAGUUAAAUUCUGAUAACCUUGGUGCCUCCCUGGCCCCGAGUGGCUUGUCAAAACCGUUUUUGCUCAUGAGUCCGCGACUACUGUGGCCUCGAUCGUUUCUCGCGGGGUUGCACCCAGAUUUGUUGCCCCUUCGAUCCCCGCUAUACGGUUGACACCGGUCUCUGCUCGGUCAUGGUUCAAGAUUAACGACCUUCUUAGGCAUGUCGUUAUUUCUGAUGGGAUAAACGAACCAAGAGGGGGCCCCGAGCUGAUCAUCCUCAACUCUGAUUUUUGACUGGUGCCUAUUAUGGACAUCGGCCCAAGUUACUGACGGGUACUCUAUCAAAUUUUGUUUCAAUUGAUGUGAAGCCAAGGAGCUUUGGCGGUUGAGUCCUUGAGUGAACGCUUGAAUGGCCCAAUCAUCCGCAACCGGGGUAUAUCUAUCCAUUCCAUUUGAAACCUCGAUAUGAAUUCCCUGAGCAUUUCGUUAUCUCUUUGUUUUACCUUGAAAAGUCCGAUUUUUUGGUCUCGACCUUGAUGGCCCUGGCAUGCGCUUUCACAAAGGCAUCUGCAAGCAAAGCAAACGAAUCAAUAGAAUUUUGGGGUAAGUUGUGAUACCAUAUCAUUGCUCCUUUGGACAGGGUUUCCCCAAACUAUUUUAGCAAGACCGACUUGAUUUCUUCAUCUCCUAUAUCAUUUCCCUUGAUGGCACAUGUGUAGGAGGUCACGUGCUCAUUUGGAUCUGUGGUUCCAUUAAACUUUAGAAUUUUGGGCAUGCAGAACUUCUUCGGGAUUCGCUUCGGUACCGCAGUUGGGGGAAAAGGCUUUUGGACAAAUUUCUUGGAAUCUAGGCCUUUCAAUAUCGGGGGCGCUCCUAGGAUUUGAUCGAAUCUGAAGUUAUAGGUCUCCACUUUUUUGUCGUUGGACUCAAUUUUCAUCUCCCCCUAUUCCACCUGCUUUGUCAGUUCCUCACGCAUUUUUAUUAUUUCGGGGUUGGUCCUGGGUUCAGUUUCACCCUGCCUUUCUACAGCUUGCUCACAUCUUCGGGUGUUUUCCCGGGAUGGUUCGGGCUCAACUCUACUGGGGGCGCGGCUUUGAUUCUGUAGCUGUGCUAUCACCGUCUGUUGGGCUUGUAAAAUUUUGAAGAUCACCCGCAGAUUGAUCCCGUCACCUUCACCUUCGGGCGUACCUCGAGUCGUAGGUCGGGCUCCUCCGCGAAAUAUUUUCUCAGGGUCAGUUAGCAGGUUGGUGUCAAUGGCCACAUGCGAGUUGGUGUCAACUGGGUCUGCAGCCGGGAUUCCGUUGGGAUUAGCAAGGGGCACCUCGUUUCUAGGUACUAUAUUGUUGUUUUCGUCGUGAUGACCAGAUUUAGCGUCAACGUUCAAGUGAGCAGACUGAGAGUUUGGCAUUUUUAGGUUGACCUGAAAUUAAAAUCUCACUAUUAUGGAAAGAUAAAAUCUCACUAUUAAGCGUAAAAUAGAGUGUGUUAUGGAUAUUUGUAUCAAAUCACCACUAUUAUCCUUAGCCCCACGGUGGGCGCCAAACUGUUUACCCUUAAAAGUGGAUAACAAUUGAAUUUAUACGUGGUUUAAUGGAUAUGUGGACUAAUUCAACACAAGUGAUUAUUAAUGUUAGAUGAGCAAAUUAAAGAUAGAAUAGAUAGCCAAACUAGUAGUAUUGAGUCUGGGCUCGGUUAUGAGCUUAACAAUUAACCUGCCUUCGGUUUGGAGCCAAACAUUUUGAUGAACUAUAAGCAAAAUUAAGGACUUUGAAUCACUUUUAGGAGGGAAGGAGAAAAAUGUAUAUUGCCUUGAUAUACGUGUUACAGUGUCUGUUGAAUAAUAAGCCUCCCCUUUAUAUAGCAAGGGAGUUUUACCCUAAGUAUAAUUCUAAGAAAGGUAAAAAUUUCCUUUUUGCUAAUCAUUGAUCUACUGCCGAUAUGGGCCGAGAUCCGCGCCUUGAUAUUGGGCAUGGAUAUCACGGCCCUUUGUUAAUCAUGUGCAGUCGUUUGGUAAUGCUUUCCGAGGUCUUGGAACACGAACCGGAUCGGGGGGUGGUCUCCAUGGUUAUGGGGGCAGAUAUUUUGUUCAGGCCUUGAUGCGAGAGGCUCCUAGAUCUGAUUUUAAUUCCUUGUAGUUACGUCCUUGCUUCGUUUGCCCUACUGUGAAAUCGAGGUACUCGUUAGCCUCGGUUUUACCCAUAUACAACUAUGUUGAUCCAAACCACUACCAAACUGACCCAUUUCUUUGAGUUCCUCUUGAGUUUCCUACGAUAACACUUCUCUUUCCCAUAACACCGUCGUCCCCGCCCUAACAUAAAACCACGUCGUCCUAAGACCCAUAAAUCACUUCAUUCACAUUUCAGCACCCAAUGGUACUGCAAACCGUACUGCCUGCUCUGACAAGACCUUCUAUGAAUCUGAAGUUGUUUAUUUCAUCUCUUUGAUAUUGAAAUGUAGAUUCAAUGAUGAUAUAAAAAUACUGCCAAUCUCGACGCCAUCCAAUGCUGUCUCAGAUCUUAGUCAUACCCAAAUUUGGAAAUCAUUAAAUACCACAUAUGAAUCUUUAACCCCUAAGAGCCUUCUCGAGAGUCAUUUACCCUUCUCUAAUCCCCAAUGCGCAGCCAAUAUGUGCCAAACUACUUGUGCUCCACUGGCACAUGAAUAUCUAAAAAGAAGCAACCAAGCGAUUCCUUUUCCUUGCACACUACAUCCACCAUGACUAACAAACUUGAAUCAUUCCAAGAUUUCCAUAUAUCCAUAAAUUGUAAUGCAUCAUGCAUCAAGAAAGUUCCUUUCUCGAGUCUGCCUCGAAAUCAACCUCUUCAAGUCAUAACGAAUCAACAAGUAUGCCUCAGUCCAACUAGUAUAACACAUGAACAUGCAAUCUGAUCGUCGAUAGUAGACUCCCUCACUAAGCUCAAAGCCAUAGUACACAUCAUACGAUAACCACAUUACUCUUCUUUAUAACUGCCAUGAUCUCGCACUGUUAUUCAGAUGAAUGCUUCAUAAGCUCAUGUAGCGCUAGUCAUAAAACAGCUCAAAUCAUCUGCCAAGUGCAUAUUCAUCAUUGUGACAGUUUCCUAAAGCAAUCCAAACUCAAAUUGUAGCACAUACAUCCCACCGGGUAGAAAAAACACCUCUUCACAAAAAUAUCAUAAGGAUCACACAAUCUCAGACCAUCCCACGGGAGAUAACCCACAUGCUUAGCCCCAAACUGCAUCUUCCUAUGACCCUAUCAUCGUCACAACCACUAUGCAAUCACUUAAUCUUCUCGAGUCUAAACUCAUCAACAAGAUGUAAAAUAUACUUCAUUACACCAAUGAACAACUGAAAGUUCCCUCAUCACACUCAAAACUUGAGAGACUAUACAAAACAUCAAGAAAGAAAUGAAGCAUUCAUAGCCCUUUUGUAAGGCCCCGUAAACAUUCGUCAAGGAUUUGAUGUUUUAUGUCGCCAAAGUUUGCAUAUGUGUUUGGAAGGUGGUAGAUACAUUAUGGAGUUGGUGGAAAUGUUUACAGAAGAAGACAGUUAUGCGGUUAGUUUUGCGACCGCAUAUCCAUUUCGCGGGCCGCAUACCCAUCGCGGAGUUGAACAAAAGAAGUUAAACUUUGAAGGUCAUUAUGCGACCGCAUUUCUGUUCCGCAGACCGCACUUCCGUUGCAGAUUCAGCAUGAGAAAUUCCAGAGGAUGAUUCCGCGGUCCAUUUUGUGGCAGCAUAAGUGGUCUGCGGACCACAAACCUGCCGCAGACCUAACCUGACCAACCCAGUUUUGGAGGAUGAUUUUACGGUCCCUUAUGCAGAUUGAUUACUUGUUCUGCGGUGCAUUCUGCGACUGCAGAGUUGAAUUCAGAGGGUCCAUUUUGUGCAUUUUAUAACUCGACCCCAUUUUGAUUAAACGCUAUUGGGGCUCAUUUUGAAGGUAAAAACAUGUUGUUUUAGAGAGGAGAGAGUAUCUUAGAGAGAGAGGAAGAAGCUCCAACCACUUUGCUCAUCAGUUCUUUCCCAAUUUUGAAGAUUCAAGAGAAGCCACUCAAUAGACCAUCAACUAUCUGGGUAAGACUUUGUCCUAAGCCUUCAUGCAAUUGUUAUGUGUUUAAGUAGGCUGUGGAGUAGGAAAAUGGUCCAUGCAUGUGGUGGUAUGUGGGGUUGUUGAACUAUUACUAGUAGAUUAUUGUUGAGACUGGUUAAGGGAGGAAGGGAGCAAUAUUGUAGAGCUUUGUAGUCAAUUUUGCAUAGUAGGUGUUUGACGAAAUUCCCAAGAGCCUUAAACCAUGAGAAUCCUUCUAAUUAUUAUUUGAUUUUCACUAUCAUCCUAAAGAUUAGGAUUGCUAGAAGUAUUGAGACCUUGUAGUACUCUAAGGGAAAGCUUAAUUGAGGUAUGUUGGCUAAACUCCCUUUCUAGAAUCGGAAUCCAUGAGUUCCUUGUAAGUUCCAAAUGUGGUUUCUUCAAACUCUUAUUCCUAUUGAUCUGAAUUGCUUCCAAUAAUUAAUUUUCCUAAAUGCUUAUGUACUCGAGCCAUGUUCAAAUUUCCCCUAUUAUAUUAUGCUCCCCCUUAGUGGGAAAAUGUUCAAAUAUAUAUGAUUUGAAUUCAUGUUUCAAUUGUAAAUCACCAUGCUCUCUGUUGUAAGUAUUACCAAUGUGUUUUGAGUUCUUACAUGUUCAUGAGUUUAAAAUAUAGAUAUCAGGAUUCCCUUUUUGGGAAAAGUAUUCCAAGAAUAAUUGGUGUAUAAAUCGCUUGUGUUUCUAACUUGUCUUUCAGUUGCAAAUCAUUAUGCUCAACUCUUUGAAAGUAAUCCAAUGUGUUUAAGUCACUCAUUACUAACGAACUUAAAGCUAUGAUUUCCGGAAUGUCUAUAUAGCAGUGUGUAUGAUAAUGAUUAUUGGAUAUGAAGAAAUGAAAGUGUGAAAUAUGAAAUCCAGCCAUCGUGCCAUGAAUGAUGAACUCUAUGUAUGGCCAAGAAAGCCAAUGAAAGAAUGAUGUUGUGCGUGGUUAAAAGUGCUAAUGAAGCUAUAUAUGGUAUGAAAGGCUAUGAGAUGAAUUCAUUAAUAUUUCUAUUUCCUUUGUAUAUGAAAAUGUUUUUGUGAGUAUCAUUAGCGAGCCGAGGAAGGGUGGGUUGUAAUGGCCCACACCCGAAACUACACGUGUCGAUGUAGGAGUUGAUUGAAGUUAUUCCCCUUAAUUGGGAUAAGGUUGAUGUGUUGAGAUUAUUCCCCUUAAUUGGGAUGAGAUUGUUGUUGGCGUUGGAUUGGAUGUCGACUCACACGGCAUAUGUGGGGAGACGACCUAGCCGAUCGGGUGGUGGUUGGACGUCAUGUUGUGCCCAUGUUUGUUCCUCCUUAUUAUCAUAUUUUAUUCGCAUCACCAUGUCGAUCCACAUUAAUUUGUGGAGAUAUGGCUCAGCCAAUCGAGUCGUGAUCAGACUCCAUGCCUCGUGAAUGGUGUGAUGAUCGGAGGCUAAUGAUCUCCCAACCAAAAAAUAUAAAUUUUUUUUUGAAAAUUGAUAUGUUUUAACUUGGCAUUUGGAUAUCAUUGAUUUUUCUUUGUUGCUUUCAUGAUUCUCCCCUUAUUAUAUUGGCAUUUUAUUUCAUGAGAGGGUAUUUUUCUUUACAUACUAGUACUAUUUCAUAUGUAUUAACAUCUCUUUUGUCGGGGGCGCUACAUCUUUAAUGGAUGCAGGUGGUUCCUCAGCAGGCGGCUUUGAUCCUGGUUAGCAGGUACCCUCUACUCAGAUGAUUUGGUGAGCCCUAUUUUGUUGCGGGCCUUAUGUCACUUGGUAUUGUAUAUUGUGUUUGAGGUAUAGCCGGGGCCUUGUCACCGGCACUUUCAUACUACUCUUUUGUCACACUAAAAGGCUUCGUAGACAUGUUGUGGGUGGUGUUCGAUUUUAGGUAAUAAACUAGAAAUGUCUGUAUUUGUCAAACAUAUUUUUCCUCGUAACUAUGAACUUGUAAUAUUUUGAAAAUUGUAAAUGAAGCUUCUAUAAGUAAUGGAAAAGGGAUGAGGUACACUUUACUCUUCUCAUGACUAUUUUAUGUCACUGAUUCUUAAAUUGUUCAUAUUUAAGGUUGGAUAGAAGGCAUCAAGUAGACUUGCUUGACUGGGAUGUCCGAUCGAGCGUCGGUCGUGCUCCCCAAGGUCAGGGCGUGACACCUUUGCAUCCCAAGCAAAUUAUUCUCGCCAUAUCCAAACCAUUUAAGCAUAAUUGCAGGCACAUAAUACUCAUCAUUAAGUUAUCUCGCAACUCACUAAGCCAUCAUUCCCACUCCUAGGGACAAUACCAGACAUAUAAGUCCAAAUGCAUAUACUCACACAACUAAAAGUAUCGAGCCCAGGCUGCAGCCUGAAACUAGCCACAAGUCUUCCAGACUGGCCUACCUCCACAAUACAGAAAAUACAUCUCGCACCUCAUCCAUAACAUCACAAGCCAUUGAUGCAUUGCUGAUAUCGAUUUCUCAAUAUCACAUACGAAUGAAUGGAAGGAAGUUGAAGAUAUAAGUUUCAAACUGAAAUAAAGUCGCACGAUAAGGAAAGAAAGGUGGGAAGUUUCCUAGAUGCCUUGUAUCCUCUCGAAGAUAAGUAUGGACGUCAGCAUACCGAUUCGAAAGACUCUACUAGACACUUUCUCAUAACUCGUCGAACCUAUGAACAUAGAGCUUUGAUACAAACUUGCCACGACCAAAAUUUUUCUAAUCGUGAUGGCACCUAACUCAACCCGCUAAGUAAGACAAACAACAAUUAACACAAUUCUAAUGAAGAUCAUAAAUAAUCAAUAAAUGAAAUAGAUGAAUUUUCAUACAAUAUCUCAAUGAUUGGUAGUAGAAGUCAUGAGCCACUAAAAUUUAGAUUUACAAAGUUGGUACGAAAAUAAAUACAAUAUCUGUUUGAAAUAUACAUGAGCAUAAGUACAAAUCCAAAGCUACCAAGGAUGAGUGGUAGCUAUAUACAUAAAGCAGGUACAUCUUCAAUGAUAGCCUCCAUCAUCCACAGUAGCUCAACUCAAAGAUCCGCACAUAAGGUGCAAAAAUAUAGUAUGAGUGCAACUGAACCCAUACAUUCAAUAAGUAUCCUGACUAACCUUAAGUAUGAUGAGGUCUCAGGUACAAUANANNNNNNNNNNNNNNNNNNNNNNNNNNNNNNNNNNNNNNNNNNNNNNNNNNNNNNNNNNNNNNNNNNNNNNNNNNNNNNNNNNNNNNNNNNNNNNNNNNNNNNNNNNNNNNNNNNNNNNNNNNNNNNNNNNNNNNNNNNNNNNNNNNNNNNNNNNNNNNNNNNNNNNNNNNNNNNNNNNNNNNNNNNNNNNNNNNNNNNNNNNNNNNNNNNNNNNNNNNNNNNNNNNNNNNNNNNNNNNNNNNNNNNNNNNNNNNNNNNNNNNNNNNNNNNNNNNNNNNNNNNNNNNNNNNNNNNNNNNNNNNNNNNNNNNNNNNNNNNNNNNNNNNNNNNNNNNNNNNNNNNNNNNNNNNNNNNNNNNNNNNNNNNNNNNNNNNNNNNNNNNNNNNNNNNNNNNNNNNNNNNNNNNNNNNNNNNNNNNNNNNNNNNNNNNNNNNNNNNNNNNNNNNNNNNNNNNNNNNNNNNNNNNNNNNNNNNNNNNNNNNNNNNNNNNNNNNNNNNNNNNNNNNNNNNNNNNNNNNNNNNNNNNNNNNNNNNNNNNNNNNNNNNNNNNNNNNNNNNNNNNNNNNNNNNNNNNNNNNNNNNNNNNNNNNNNNNNNNNNNNNNNNNNNNNNNNNNNNNNNNNNNNNNNNNNNNNNNNNNNNNNNNNNNNNNNNNNNNNNNNNNNNNNNNNNNNNNNNNNNNNNNNNNNNNNNNNNNNNNNNNNNNNNNNNNNNNNNNNNNNNNNNNNNNNNNNNNNNNNNNNNNNNNNNNNNNNNNNNNNNNNNNNNNNNNNNNNNNNNNNNNNNNNNNNNNNNNNNNNNNNNNNNNNNNNNNNNNNNNNNNNNNNNNNNNNNNNNNNNNNNNNNNNNNNNNNNNNNCAUCAUACUUAAGGUUAGUCAGGAUAUAUAUAUAUAUAUACACACACACACACAACAUGUAAAACUCAAUAACAGCAAUUAUAUCGAAGUCUAAACAGGAAAUACAAGUACCACCAAAUAGUGCACAUAGGGAGGAUGUGCACAAGUCUCUUAAUAGUUUAGCGUAUAAAGCAUAUAUAUGUAUUUGAUAACGGAUAUCAUGUCAAUAAUUUCAUAUAGAGAAGAUAUGCACAUAUACUACUCUAGUUUAACAACUCAGCAUAUAGAGAAGAUAUGCGUCCAACAUCAAUGAAACAUCAAAGCUUGCAUAUAGAGAAGAUAUGUGUAAAGUAUCAAUUAAUCCUUCCACAAUUGCAUAUACAAAAUAUAUUCAUGAAUACAUCAAGUCAUGUCUCAUGGAUCCACAUAUAGAGAAGAUAGGUAAUGUUAAUCAUCUCAUAAAGUAAGACAACGUAAAGAGAACAUAUGCAUAAAGGCAUGUAUACUUUCCGGGGCUAGCAUAUAGGUGUUGCACUCUAUUUUUCACAAGUCAAAGUAACAUAUAACUUAUAAUAUUCUACAAGGUUAUUUAAAGUUUAAGAGUCGCCACCUAGUAUUUAAGGUAUACUAGGAUACCUAUACUAUACUAUGUAAUGUAUACUUUGAUUAUGGUUUGCGGAACUAUUGAGAUUCUAAGUAAGGAUUCAAAUUAUCUCAAGGGGAAGGUGUUAGUCAUCCCUCGAGAUCCAUAAAAUAUGAUUCCGGUGGACUCAAUCAACUAAAAGAGGGAUUAAGUGAAGAAUUAUCUGCAACUACUAUGGAAGAGAAUUUUAGCAAAAACGAUUUAUCUUAAAUAGUAUGUAGUAAGAUGUAAGUAUUCAUAUAUGUAGGAAACUAUAUCUAAUAAGAUAAAUAAACAAGUAUGAAAGUCAUUAUGCUUACAAAUAAAUACAAGAGACGCAUAUAUUAACAACUAAAGAAUUUAAACUUAAAAGAAUAAAAAAUUUCCAAUGAGUAAUUGCUUUGAAUAAGAUAUGUAAAAGAAUGUUUAUCUGUAAUAAUUUAAGAGAAGGAGAAGAUAAUCCUUUAAUAAAUAAAUAGCUAACAAAAUAAUUGGUUAAGGAUAAACAAAGUAUGAAAAAAUUACUAACAUGAAUGAGCAAAAGGAUUAUUUUCACAUAAAUUCAAGGAAUGUACAAGGUAAUAAAGUUUUCCAAACCUUGAAAGGAUUUGAUAAAAAAUAAUUAAUUAUAGUAAAAUUAUGUUGAUAACUAACAAAGGAUAUAUAAAAAUUAAUCAACUUAAGUGUAGAAACUCGAUAAAAAUAUCAAUGGAAAAGAAACUAAUAUUUUCAUGGGAGUAUAUAAAGUUUGACUUAUUUAAAAGUAGCAGGUACUUGAGUUAUUUACUACGUUAUGAAUAUUCGAACAAUUAAAUUAAUGAUUAACUUAGCAUGAUAUUUAAAAUGUAGCUAAUCUAAAAUGUCCAAGUGAAAUAUACUAAAUGCAUCGAUUAAUGAAUGAAUGUGUGCGAUAUCUAACUAAUUUUUACUAACCAAAAAAGGAAAGUAUGAAGCGGGUAGUUUGGUGAAGGGAUUUGUGCUUCGUCAUCGAGCGUCGUCUUUCCAAAGUCAAUGAAUAUUAAGUUCAAUAGCUAACAACACCCCAGAGGUGAAACACCUCCCGCCAAAAUCGAUGAAAAACAGCGAGUCAAACUGAUAUCUCCCUUGAUGUAGCCACUCAAAAGAUUUGUCGAUCUUUUAGCACCUGAAGCUAAUGAAAUCAAAUUUUAAUACUCAAAAGGACAUUACAACUUAAAAUCAGCGGCCAGGUUAUUCAAAAACAGUCAAAGCCACAACACAAGCAGCCGAAUAGAUAUCUAUGAAACACCACCCACCCAUGAUAGAAAGUCAUCAGAAACCCAUAGCCGGCCAAAAUAGGAAUGACAAAAUACAAAAACAUCACUGAAAAAUUAAUCUCGGCCAUGUACAAGGACAAACCCAGAUAUGAAGAUUCCUAUUAAUGGACGAUGCCACCAUGGCUUAAGACAGAGCAGCAGCACAAGGGAAGAGAAUAAACAGCGUCCCCGAAAUCCCAUUUCUCCGUCCAGACCUUUCCAGAUUUGGAUUCACCAAUAGUAGGCCUAUAAUGAAAAUAAAAGGCAAAGGGUGAUGAGAAGCAAAAGAAGGGUGAACAAGGGAGCUCAUUUGGCUUCGCUGGUGACGAUGGAGGAAUGGUGUGAGAAGCGGUGGCAGCCAUGGAAGUCGUUGUCAAGCCUGCCUAUGGCCAAUCCCAGUGGUGGCAAGAGGGAAUUAGACAGUUGAGAGAGGUAUGGGGGUGGUUUUGGAGAGGAGGGGGAGCCACUAUUGAGAGUUCUUGGUGAGAGAAGGGAGUUGGGAAUGGGACAUGUGGUUGUUCUCUCUAGAGUGAGUAUAAGAGAUGAGAGAAAAAAUGUUUAGGGUUUUAAACCUAUGUAGAAGGUCUGAUUUUGUGUGUUGUGUAGUGUAUUAUAGGUGAGAAAUAAAAUGUGGGGUGUGGGAUAGAAAACUUAGGGGUUCAGAUUUAGAGUAGAACAAAAUAGGUAGGUCUUUACCCAUUGGGUAAAAGAUGUUGUGUCACAUCAAUAUGACUUGUCACAUCUUGUCUAGUAACAUCAUAUGUCUUGUCACGUCGGAUAUUGACGAGAAUCAAGUCGCGUGUAGUUCUGGAAUGCAAUUGAGUACUACUUAUGAAUCGUAGCCUCGUGGAGUGAAAGAGAAAUAUUUGAGGACGAAAAGGUUCGCGUGUUCUCGAUAUUGCUUCCAAGAUUCCCCCAAUGUCGAACUAUAGUAAUACUGGGACGUGGAUGUUGGAUUAUAAAUGGCUUGGUUUCAAUGGGCUUUGCCAUGGGUACGGUCGGACUGCGUAUCGAGUUUCCUACAUAUCUCGUAUGUAACGAGAAUCAGGCCGACUAUAGUUCGAGAAGCGGCAGGAUGGUUUGAUUUCUGAUUUUUGAUUUUGAAGAUUGCCUCUGCAUCAAACUGUGAUAACACUGGAUUUUAUUCUUAUGGGGUACGGAUUGCCUACAUACCCCAUGUCAAUGAGACGUAAGAUGAAUGAUUCUUGGGGACAUGCAGCCGAUAGCUGUUGGAAAGCUCGACGUCCGUCCUCAAAAUAUCCCUAGUUUAUUUGCUAGAAGAUAAUUUCACGUUGUGUCGCGUCUUUGAUCAGGAGAGUUGACGAAGUAUGAACUAUGCUUCUUUUUGACUUGAGAAAGAUGGUUUGCAGUGGCUUGAGCGAUGAUUGUAUGCGAUGUAAGAAUGAUGUGAUUUUAUUUUAUUUUUGAAUGAAAUAUAGUCCAGGUUGGAAUUCUAAUUCGAAAGAGAUCCGGGCUAUAAGGAAAUUAUAUUGGAGCACUUUGAAUUUAGAAGGAAAUUCGGGCUGGGUACUAGUCCGAAGCACUCGGAGAACUUUGAAUUUUGAAGGAAAUUCAGGUUGGAUACCGGCCCAAAGUGAUUGGAGCACAUCGAAUUUUGAAGGUAAUCCGGGUUGUGUACCAAUCCGAAGUGAUCGGAGCACUUUGGAUUUUAAAGGAAAUCCGGGCUAUAUACUGUUCCGAAGUGAUCAGAGCACUUUAAUGUUAGACGGGCUAUGUCACUGUUCUGAUGCGAUAUCGGAGCAUUUAAAUGUAAAAUCGGCUGGUAGUUAUGGUUCCAAAGCGAUAUUGGAGUGUUUGAACAUUAGACAAGCUUUGUAGUUAUCGUUCUGAAGUGAUAUUAGCGCAUUGAAUGUUAGACGGGCUUUGUGGUUACCAUUCCGAAGCGAUAUCGGAGCAUUGAAUGUUAGACGGGCUUUGUAGUUACUGUUUCAAAAUGAUAUCCGAGCAUUGAAUGUUAGACGGGCUUUGUAGUUACCGUUCCGAAGCGAUAUCGGAACUUUGAAUCUCCACAUGAUGGGAGUGACUGGAAAUGAAAUCGCCACACGACGGGAGUGACAGGAAUGUAAAUCUCCACACGAUAAGAGUGACUGGAAUGUAAAUCAUCUCAUGAUGGGAGUGACAGGAAUGUAAAUCUCCGCACGAUGGGAGUGACAGGAACGUAAAUCUCCGCACGAUGGGAGUGACAAGAAUGUAAAUCUCCACGUGAUGUAAAAUAUGACUUUGAAAUGAAAUGACUAUUGUUCAGGAAGGCACCUAGAAAAGAAAUAAGCUAUUUUUCCUACGUACGAAAAUUGAUGGAAGGAGUUCUGCUUAUUUGUUUAUUGUUUUCUCCAUUUUUGCUGUUUUUAUAGCUUUUGUAGAGAAUAUUUAAAAAUUUGAAGAGUGAAGAAAGACUGUGAAUUAUUGACCGAUCAUCAUUUUUUUUACUUGACUUUGGUUGGUACCAAUUAUUAGAUUUGUUCAUAGGAAUUACCACCAUAUGCUUUCCAGCAAACCGAGAUCAGCUUAUGAGUAAUUCCUAUAGCUUCGAGAGGUACCUCAUGUAUGCCGAAGUUCGACAAGAUUUGUUCAUAUUAUUUCAAUCAAAAGUUUUGAAUUUUGCCUAACAUCAUGUUUCAAGUGCCCUCACCGCAAAGAAAGUACUAAUUUUCACACAUAAUAUUUUUGUAUUUUGAUUUUUAGGACAUUUUUUGAGAAGUGCACUCACACUCAGAAAGAUAUUCAAUGCAUGCCAUUGAGAUACCAUAUACUUGGCCUUUAUGUAAGUAUCCACUAAUAUGAGAACGCUUGGAAUAAGAUCACGAAGGGAUUUGUUAUAGGCUUGUAAUGUAGGCUUGGGGAUGGGUAGGAUAUUCAUUUGGAUGAAAGUAACUAAUCCCUCCUUAAGCACUAUAUUGUAUCCAUGUCUACAGCGUUCAAGCCAUGCUUCGGUGCUUUAUCUAGUUUGCUUUGAUGUCCCUCUCUUGUUGUUUUGACUUGUUUUGAACUUGUAGGAGAUUCUUCUUCCUUUUUAGAGGUUUCUCUUUCCCUUUUUCUUUUGAAGUUUCUCUUGCUUUGCGUGAGUUUUUUCCUUCUUUUCUUCCUCUUUGAAUUUGUGGAGUUUUUCCCUUUUUGUUGGAAUUAUUUUUGGAUUUUUCGGAAGUUUUCUUCUCCUUUUUGGAUCAUCCCUUUGAAUUGUGGAGUUUCCGCUUUUGUUUCCUAAAGUCAUGUCUUCGAUUGUCUUGUACUUUGCAUCUUUCAUUUUUACAUACUUUGUCGCCUUCACUUUGGUCUUCGUCCAAAGUUGUACGUUUUCAGUGCGCUCGAGGAGGUCGGGCCAAGAGAUGGGUUGUGAAUUUAAGCACAAAGAAAGGUAUGGGCUAAGAUGUGACUGUCCAAGAAAAAGGCAUAAGGCUCAAAGGGAGAAUGAUAGGGAUUGAUAUCAUUUCGUGGGCUUAAAAGGCUCGAUCGGGUCAAAGAAGGCCUACGAUCAUUUCUUAAAUGAAGCGUUACUCAGGAUUUUGCCUCAACAGACGUUCGGGCCAAGUUCUAGAUCUACAAUACAAUGCAAUGAAUUUUAAUCUAAAGCUCAACACACAAUGUACAUGAAAAGAUGAGGUCGGCUUUGUUCUUACCCUUACUGUAAGCACGAAAUUUUUUCAAGUGUCACUAAGGUAUGAUUAAGAGAUACCACAAGAAUCUAUAAUUUACCCGAAGUUGAUUAUCUCCUUCAUACCACUUUUACACUUGUCACUUUCCCAUGCAUACUCCUAACUAUGUUGGUAACAACCAAGUCAAUAUUUGAUGAUUUUUCUUCUUUUUUUUUUCUAUUUCUUCUUUUCUUUCUUUUCCUUCUUUUCAUUUUAUUUUUUUUUUGAUAGAUGGGACCACACUUGAAGGAAGGUUCCCCUUUUUCUUAAAAAAAAAUUUUGACUUAAUAAUUUUUUUUUUUACCUUUUGAUAACAGAAUUGAAUCCAAGAAAGGUUCUUUCUUGAUUUUGUUUUUGAUUUUUGAAGAUAGGAUCGAACCCAGGAAUAGUUCUUGAUUUUCUUUUGGGUUUUUGAAAGUUUGGAAAUCGACCCACGAAAGACUCUCGAUUUCCUUUUUCUCUCUUUUUUUUUAUUUUCUAAGACAUGAGACCGAACUCGAAGGAAGGGUCUUGACUUUAUUUUGAAUAAUGAGACCGAACCCGAAGGCUGCCUACAUAUCUCGUUGAAAUGAGAAUAAGGUCAAGUAUAGUUCAGGAAGAUUAGAAAUAGAAGGAGAGCAUUUUUGGACUUUCAUUUCAUUUCAUUUUUGAAAUUAGGAAUUCCCUUACGGGAGGCUUGUAAAGAGAAAAGGAGGAUAUUUUUUUUAUUUUGAGUUUCCUCAAAAGGUCUUAUAAAGGAAAAUAUUCUUGGAUUUUGUUGUCUCAAGAAAGACUUCUAAAUAAGAAAUAGAGGGCAAUAUAUGUUCCGACCCAAACCGAUGGGCCGCGACGGGCACCCGGUACCUUACUCAACUGAGUACCAAUAUAAAGUAUUUUUUCAUAUCAUACUAUUAUAGAUAACUGAGUCAGAGAGGCUGUCGUAAGAUAGGUAGAAUACAACAUGUAAUACCAACUUAUACAUAAGACAUAUGGGCCUCUAAGACAAAAAUAAUCACUCGUACACUGAACAUAGGCUGACAAGGCCAUACAAUCUUUUACGUACAUGACAUCUGUCUACAAGCCUCUAAAAAUACAUAAUUAUCAUAAAGGUCGGGACAGAGCCCCGCCAUAUCAAACAAUACACAUCUAAAUCAUACUGACCAAACAAGCAACUCCGGAGCGAAUGGAGUGCACCAACAUCUUCCGCUGGGCUGAUCGCCUACUUGGAGGACUCUCGACCUGUUUAUCGAGACCUGCGGGCAUGAAACGCAGCGUCCCCAGGCAAAAGGGACGUCAGUACAAAUAAUGUACCAAGUAUAUAAGGAAUGAAAAUCCGUAAAUAAUAGACAUGAGAGAAACAUGGAAUAAAAGACUCGACAUAUAUGUCUGCAUAGCUCUGUGAAUCAUUUUAUUUUUAUAACGUCAUGAAUAUGCAUAUAAAUGUCAUACCAUGCAUAGGUAUAUAUGUUCAUAGCAUCAUCAUGCCUCUAGGGCAUCCCAUCAUAUCANNNNNNNNNNNNNNNNNNNNNUGGAAAGUAAAUUAACGUUGCUUAUGUUCCUUGGAUGAGAAAGUGAUUGGAAUUGGAACGUUCUUAUGUGCUCGACUGAAGAUAUCUUUCCUUAGAUGAAUAUAUGACUAAUGACUCAUCUCUCUAAGACGUAACAAAGGGUUCUCUUUCCUUAAAUGAAUAAUGUGACUCAUGUUACAAGACUUGCCCACAUCUCUUAAGCUUGCCACCUAUAUUAAUGACUUAAGUGUCAUCUUAAGUCUUUUGGGGGGGGGGGGGCUGCCAUAUUCUUUGCUUAUCUUAGAGGCUUAAUUAAUUAUUAUUAUCUUAUUUAACUAAUUAAUCUUCCAUUAACCAAUAAUCAACUAAUUACCCACAUAAUUAAGAAUUAUCUCAAAUUACUUAAAAUACCACUCCUUUUUAAUAUACUUUAUACACCUUACUAUCAUGGCCACGUGGUACCUUGUAUGGUACUAGUCCAUAAAUACUGGGUAUUAUUGCUCGGACGGUAUUUUAUCCCAAAUUAUCAAAUUUUGACGAAACUCAUUUUCUUCGAUUCGCGUAUCCUCUCACUGUCACGAAUUUACUCGUCACUUGUUUGAAAUAGCAUAAUGCUUAUAAUCUCAAAAUAAUCUCAUUCCCGAACUUACGUCGAUUACCUUAUGACGAAACUUUAACGCACGAAAAUAUGGGGUGUAACAAUAUACAUAUGCUUUGAUUUUAUGUUUGGUUUUAGAAGUGAUCUUUUGCGAAGAUCAUCGGUUAACUGCGACCUGAGUGGCCAGACUUGACCGAUUUGUCCAGCUAAGGACGAGAAAGACCGGACCCAUAACAGGUUUCCUUACGUUUCUUGAUAGAAGGUCAAGAAUCAGGUACGCGUAGUUCGUGAAGGAUGGAGAGUAUGAGAUGUACGGUUCAAAGAUCUUUUACUCUCCUAUUUUAAAAGAAUUACAGCUAACAAUGCUAAUUACAUCAUAGGUAUAUAGAAACUGCAAAGGUAUAAACAAACUCGGAGCGAUGCCUCGUUGUGUCCGUGGUUGGACGUGGUAUCCUCUGAAUUUGAAGAGUGACUCCCUACGGAAGAUGUGCCCAGUUGCUCUUUCAAACAAUUAUUUCGAUGCCCCUGAGUAUUUGCGAGAGUCGUUGCGGAUUUCUCCCACUUGACUACAGGGAUGUCUUGUUGCGACCUUCCGGCGGUCCGCAGGAACCAUUUGGUGGUCGUCACCAAUUGUUAACCGGGGAUGAUUAUCCUAUCAAGAUAUAGAAAUAUAGUGAGAGUAGUGUCGCCAUAAGAUGUUGGAAUUAAGAAACGUGGCUGUACAACUAACACUCCCCUGAUUGUUCGAUUGAUGUUCCACAAUGUCCAAUGCCGCAUGUUAUUUCCCGUGCCAUCCCAGGAUGAUACACCUUUCAGCUAUCCACGAGAACCAUUUGAUUAUUGUCCCCGGUUGAUAACCGGGAACGAAAUUCCUAUCAAGCUAUAGAAAGUUAUGAGAGCAGCGAUGUUAUGGAAAAUGAUGGAGUUGAGAAAUGUGAGUGUAAAACUAAUACUACCCUGAUUCUCUGACUGAUGCUCCACCAAGUCAGAGGUCAAAAGUUAUCCCCCAUGAAGUGCCUAUGAUGAUAUUCCUACAAAACGCAAAGGAGAAAAUGUUAGAGUCCUUUUCAAAUGGUAUUACAUGAAUUAAAAGGGUGCAGAGUUAGGCCGUGUGGCCAGUGAUGUAGUCGAUCGUGAUCGGGAACGUGAUGUCGGCAUUCCACGAUGGUUCCGGAGAUGAUGUUGUUCCUUCUGCAUCCAAAGAAAAAUCCUUAAUUCGAGGGUGGGAAAUCGAUUCAUGUUGACUUGAGGCUUUGCUUGUUCUUCUUUCUUUGUCUGAGUUGUGCGAGCAUGACACUUCUCGAAGGCUUAUUAACACCUUCCCCUGUAACAAAAGUGGGUUGACUUGUAUUGAAUCUCUAGAUUUGGAAAGUAGGGAUGAACAAUAUGACUCCAUAGCCAGAUGUUUGAAGAAAAGACUUACAUCUAGUAUGUUGAGAAUUAAGUCGAGUGGGGGUCAAAGUAAGGCUGGUAUGGUGUUUUGGGAUUUGGAUUUGGGUGAAAGUUUGUUAACGCUCUCGGAGAUUUCUGGGUUACGAGCAUUAUCACAUUGUUCCAAAAGAACAACUUCAAUUUCUAGUACUGAGGAAAUUAUUUUGAUACAGUGGGGAGACCGAACCCUUAUGUAGGGUUGCCUACGUAUCUUCCUAUGGGAAUAAUCAGGUCAAAACGUAGUACGAACCAACUACUUCGGUUGUCAUAAGUAAGUGAUUGCUCUUUGAGAAUAAGUGGUUGUGGAUGAAAAUCCUUGGGUGGGUGGGCAGAGACAGGUAACUGUUGAAUAAGAGAUAAAUGGUAGCAUAGCGCAUGGAUCUAUCUCAAAUGAUGGAAGUUAGUGAGAAUGUGGGAUAUGAUUGAGAAGAAUAUGUCAAAUCAGUUGAAAAUGUACCAAGCUAGAUUGACGUAUCUUUGAAAGGAUGGUAGAGUCAAAAUGAUGGUAUGAUUAUGGUAGAUGGUCAUGAGACCAAAAUUGGUAUGUGUAUUUUAAGGAUCAAAUGUUCAUUACAAGUCAACCAGAGUUUAGUCAGACAAAGAGAACCUAAGAGUAGAUAACAAGUAGAAGGUAUAUGUAACAGAUAAAGAAUGGGUAACAUACAAAGAAUAUGUAACGAGUAAAGGAUAUAUAACAACUAAUAAAGCUAAAGCAGGCUGCAAGAUUGAGUGCAGUGACCUAAGUAUUCUAUGAAUAGAUUUACCGAGAUUCAAGCACGAGUCAAGGACAACUGCAAGAUGGUACGUAGUUAAGCUUGUAUGCAAAUCACGAAACUAAUGUGUUUUGAAAGAAAUUUCGGAGGGGUGAAAAGACAACCCUCGCGUGACUUUGUGUGUGAUUGAGUACAACCAAGAUUUGAUAGGAAAGUGAUGACAAUUCAAUGAAGCAUUACCAUAGGCAUGUGUGAAAGAAUAUGCAACAUAGGCAUGUGUAAGAAUAUAUAACAUGGGCAUGUUCAAGGCAUAUACAACAUAGGCACAUGAAAGAAUAUACAGUUUGAAACACCUGACAAAGUGUAACGACCCGAUCAGUUGUUUUGCUUACAAAUCCCUGCUCCUCUAUUUAAGAAUUCUCGUAUGUGCAUUUAUAAUUGUAUGACUUGCGGGGGUAGUUGUUUUGAUUUUGGAAGGGUUCGGGUAGAAUUCAGAACACUUAAUUCCAUAAUAGUAGACUAAGGUGGCCAAGUUUGACUUGAGUCAACGCUUUGAGCAAACGGCCUUGGAAUCAGGAUUAGAAGGUCCCAAUAGAUUCGUAUGAUUAUUUUCGACUUGGGCGUAUGUUCGGAUCGCGAUUUGGGUAGGCCAUGAGCAUUUCGGUGCUUAUUGUUGAAAGUUGGCAUUUUGAAGGUUUUAGAAUUUCCUAAGUUUGACUCGAUGUAGAUUUUGGUGUUAUCGAUGUCCGUUUGGGAUUCCAAGCCUUGGAAUAGGUUCGUAUUGUGAUUUGUGACUUGUACGUACAAUUUGUCAUCAUUCCGAAAUGUUUAAGUGUGAUUCAGACGCGUUCGUCAACGUUUGAAAGUUUAAAGAAUGAUUUUAUCAUCAAUUUAUGAUUUUGGUGUUAGUUCUGGAGUUUUGAGCCUUCGGAUAAGUAUUGAUAAGGUAUUGGGACUUAUUGGUAUGAUAGGACGGGGUCUCGGGGGCCUCGAGUGUUUCGGGAUGGAUUCAGACAAAUUCUCCUUGUUUUAUCACUGCUUGUUUCUGGUGUGUUUAGUGUGCAUCGUGAUCGCGUAAGAAGGAUCGCGAUCGCGAAAGGCUAAAUGGAUGGUAGGGACUUUGUUCUUCGCAAUCGUGAAGAUGGUGUCGCAUUCGCGGAGCUUGAUCGGGUUGUGCUUGACAUUCGCAUGGCGAUGGUCGCGAAUGCACUGAGUUAGAUGGGUUGGUCUGGGUUUGGAAGGUUGUUCAUCGCGAUCGCUUGGUCAUGAAUGCAAUCGCCUAGGGUAGUUUCUGAGGCUGCGGUUUAUUUCCUUCGCGUUCGCAAGGAUCGGCUCGCGUUCACAUAGCCUCGCCUGGCUAAGCUUCACGAUCACGAGCUAUUUAUCAUGUUCACAUAAGAGGAUUUUUGGGUGAGGUCUGUGUGGCCUUCGCGAUCGCGUAGAAGGACGCCUUGGCAGAUUUAAUGUUAGCAAGGUUUGGAUUUUCUUAUUCUCAACUCAUUUCUCUCUUGCUUGCGCGAUUUUUGGGCGAUUUGGAGGAGCCAUUUUCAUCAUCAAUCUUAAGGUAAGCGAUUUCUACAUAUUGUGAGCUAAAUACAUGGAUUAUAUAUGGAUCUAAAUUUGGGAUUUGUUGAAAUUGGGGGAUUUUGGAAGAAAAUAUAGAAUUUAAUAUUUUUGGAUUUUGACCACGAAAUUGGACAUUGGAUUAUAAAUAAAUUUUAUAUUUGAGUUCGUGAGGUCAUGGGUGACGUUGUCUUCAAAACUUUCCGGAGUACGGGCACGUGGGCCUGGCAGUGACUUUCAUGGACUUUUCGAAUUUGAUUGGGAAAUUAGUGUAGUAGUUAAAUAAUGAACUUUUGAACAUAUAUUUAUUAAUUUAUACGACUUUUGAUUAGUUUUGGAUUGAUCGGCAUCAUUUGAGGAGUUCUAGUGAGGUUAAAGAGUCAGAUUGAGGAUUUGGAAGCAAGGUAAGUCUCUUGCCUAACCUUGUAAGAGGGAAUUUAUACCCUUAGGUGUAUUGAUUGUUGUGUGCUACUUGUUGUGGAGAGCUACGUAUGCACGAGGUGACGAGAGUCCGUACGUAUAGCUAUAUCUAUGUUAUGUCCGGGUAGACUUAAAUUCAUAUCAUGCUUUAAUUUUGUUAUUUAAACUCAUCAAGUGUAUUUGAUUUCCUUAAUUUAUAACUGAGACUGAAGUUAGAAUAAAACAUUGACUUAGCCUCUUACCGUGGAAAAUUGUGAAUUACUUGAUGAGCUAUAGAUCUGCGUCUUCUCGACUCGCAUGUAUUUCUGCGAGAGAGGAAAUUUAUCUACUCUUAUGGGAUCAGGUUGUUCGCCUCAGUAGGGAUAUAAAUUACUCUUAUGGGAUCGAGUCGUAUGCCUCGGCAGUAUACUUGAGAUUGGAAUUGGUUAUGAUAACAGUUGAGUUAGAGCCUUCGAGGCCGGUUAUGACAUUUUAGUGAUAUGAUAUAGGUCCAUGUUGGAGAUUUAUAUUGAUGCUUUGUCUGUUUCGUUGCUACUUGUUGUACAUCCUCCAUUUCUACUUUAUGUAUUUUACUAACUGUUUGACCACUAGCAAGCAAGUCGACUCCUCGUCACUACUUCUUCGAGGUUAGACUAGAGACUUACUGGGUACGCGUUGUUUUACGUACUCACGCUACACUUCUGCACUGAAUAUGCAGGAACUGAGACAUGUACUUACAGCGGUCAUACCGGCGCAUAGCCGCACUUCCACGGAGACUUAGUGGUGAGCCGCUUGCCUUGCUUCGAUAUACAGCAGCGGAGUCUCCCUCUACCUUGUUUAUUGUUUUUGUUCAUUAUACAUCAGACAUUAGUUGUAUUAGUUUUGCACAUUCUCUAGAUUCCUCAUGCACUUGUGGCACCAGGUUUUGGGGUUUUCUAGCAUUUAUGUAUGGUCGUACUUAUUAUUACUAUCACCAUGGUUUAUGUAUUCCUCAUACUUGAUAUUUUUUAGAAAGAGGUAUGUACGGUUGCAUGAGAUCUUACUUAUUUCAGUAUUUGAAAGGAAACUUCUAUUUUUAAAUGAUUAAAAGAGAUAAUUAAAUUAGAGGUUCACGUGUGGGCUUGCCUAAUGGCGGUUUUAGGGGCCAUCGCGACCUAUUGCUGGUUUUUAGGUCGUUACAAUUUGGUAUCAGAGCAUUAGGUUCGCAUAGGUCUCACGAGUCAUGAGCAGGCCUAAUAGAGUCUUGUGUAUCGGUGCGGAGACAUCUGUACUUAUCUUCGAGAGGCUAUAGGGUGUUAGGAAACCUCUUUUUCUUCAUCUCCUAUCGUUCAAUUGAUAUUGUGCUAAGUAUCUUUCAAUUAUUCUCUCAGAGAUGGUGAGAACGCGCGCGCCAGAUGUACCCGGCGGUAGAUGGGUUGCUCCCCCUAUUGCUAAAGGCCGAGGCAGAGGCUCGGGGAGGGCUCCAGCUCCUGUUAGAAGAUGAGGACAUCCUAGAGUUGCUCCUGUAGUACCACCAGUGGAUCCAGUGGAGGAUCCUGUUAUUGAGGAGCAGGAUGGGGUGCCUGCAGCUGAGCCGGCCCUGGAAGAUUUCAUGACUGCACCGGGAUUCUAGGAGGUAAUGGGCCAUAUGUUGCGGUUCAUGGGUUCUAUGACGCAGGCUGGUUUAUUUCCAGUGGACCCAGCCACAUCUCAGGCAGGAGGGGGAGCAUAGACCCGUACCGCUCAGGCUCCAGGGCAUGUGCGCUGCCGUAUAUCGGACCCCAGGUGCACCACCUGCGGGCAGGGUCCAGCCAGUUGUAGUGGCUAUGUCAGAGCCCGGACCAAUCACUACUGUUGAGCAGCAGAAGUGGCAGGACAGGUAGACUAGGCUUCGCGCCUCUGUCUUUGGGGGUGAGCAGUCAGAGGACCCACAAGAUUUCAUUGACUGGUGCAAGGAUAAGCUACAUAACUUGGGGAUAUUGGAAUCUAAUGGGGUGGACUUCACCACCUUUCAGCUUGAGGGGAAGGCCCACAGAUUGCGACAGGCAUACCUCCUUAGCAGGCCAACAGGUUCGCCUCCCUUGACUUAGGAUCAAUAUACGCAUUUGUUCUUAGAGAAGUACAUACCACCUUCAGAGAGAGAGGACCUUCGGAGUCAGUUUGAGCAACUCCGUCAGGUCAUAUGUCUGUGACCGACUAUGAGGAGAGAUUCACUGACUUGUCUCGACAUCCAGCUAUUAUACUCUCCACAGACACAGAGAGGGUGCGGAGGUUCAUUGCAGGUUUGCACCCUCAGAUCCAGGUUUCUAUGGCCCGUGAGGUAGAGAUGGGGACUCCCUUUUAUCAGGUUGUGGAUAUAUCUCGGAGGAUUGAGCGUAUCCGUAAUCGUAAUGGAGAGUUUUUUCCAAGAUAGAAGUGGCCCCGACAAUUUGGUGGAUUUAGAGGCACCCCACCUGGGGGUAGAGGUCAGUUCGUGAGGGGCCAGUCUAGAAGGCCCAUCCAUUCAGCACCACCGCCUACUCGGAGUGAUCCGGCACUACCCUACUUCAGCGCUAUUCCAGAGAGUACCUAUUGUUUGCCAGCCAUUCAAGGUUCCUCCAUUGGGUAUUCAGGUCAUCAGGGUCAAACUUCGGGUCAAUAGUUUACCGCUCCGAGAGGUUAUUUUGAGUGCGGGGAGUUUGGCCAUGUGUAGAGGUUUUGUCCCAAACUUCGAGGCAAGGUAGUGUAGCAGGUCCAUCGGAUCAUGAUUACCGCACCAGCUACCAUACCGCCUCCCUGGCCAGCUAGAGGCAGAGGGCAGGUGGAUAGGGAUUGUCCUAGAGGUGGAGGCCAGCCCGGUGGAGCUCCACCUAGAUUCUAUGAUUUCCCAGCCAUGCCAGAGGCAGUCGCCUCCCAUACAUUGAUCACAUGUACUAUUUCUGUUUGCCGUGGGGAUGCCUGGGAACUAUUUGAUCCAGGGUCUACUUAUUUCAAUGUUUUUUCUCUAUUUUCUCCUUACCUUGAUGUAUCUCACGAGUCCUUGGGUGUUCCGAUAUAUGUGUCCAUGUUAGUGGGUUAUUCGAUUUUUGUGGAUCGGGUCUAUCGGUCCGAUGUAAUAACUUUCUGUGGUCAUGAGACUAGAGCGGAUCUUCUACUAACCGAUAUGGCUGAUUUCGAGGUUAUCUUGGGCAUGGAUUGGUUGUCUACGUACUAUGCCAUUCUUGAUUGUCAUGCUAAGACUGUUACCUUGCCGAUGCUUGAGUUGCCCAGAUUAGAGUGGAGGGGUUCGUCUGUUUGUACUUCCAAUCGGGUUAUUUCUUUCUUGAAAUUGUUUGGCCUAUUUGGCCUUUAUUCGGGAUACUACUACGGAGACUCCCACGUUAGAUUCGGUACCGAUGGUUCGAGAGUUUUCUGAUGUAUUUCCUUCUGAUCUACCAGGUAUGCCAUCAGAUAAGGAUAUCAAUUUUGGCAUUGAUUUGGUGCCAGGCACCCAUCCUAUCUCUACUUUGCCUUAUCGCAUGGCUCCAAAAGAGCUGAGGGAUUUGAUGGAGCAGCUUCAAGAGUUGCUUAAGAAGGGGUUCAUCAGACGAAGUAUGUGGCCUAGGGGCGCACUGAUGUUAUUUGUGAAAAAGAAGGAUGGGAGUACGCGGAUAUGAAUUGAUUACCGCUAGUUAAACAAAGUCACCAUCAAGAAUAAAUACCCGUUGCUGCACAUUGAUGAUUCAGCUACAGGGUGCUAAAGUAUUCUCGAAGAUCGACUUGAGAUCUGGAUAUCAACAGCUGAAGAUUCGUGCUUUUGAUGUUCCGAAAAUGGCUUCCCGGACAAGAUAUAGGCACUUGAGUUAGUGAUGUCCUUCAGCUUGACUAAUGCCCCGGGGGUGUUUAUAGACUUGAUGAACUUGGUGUUCAGGCCGUAUCUUGACUCAUUUGUCAUUGUUUUCAUUAAUGACAUACAGAUCUACUCAUGUAGUAUAGAGAAGCACGAGCAGCAUUUGAUGUUAGUGCUUUAGACCUUGCGGGAAUAGAAGAUAUAUGCUAAGUUCUCCAAGUGCAUGUUUUGGUUAGACUUCGUUGGUUUCCUGGGGCAUGUUGUAUUAGGAAAGGAUAUUAAGGUGGAUCACAGGAAGAUCGAGGCAGUUCAGAGUUGGCCUCAUCCUACCAUAGCGACCGAGAUUAGAAGUUUCUUGGGGUUAGCAGGUUAUUAUCAAUGGUUUGUGGAGGACUUCUUGUCCAUUGCAGCACCUUGGAUUAGAUUGACCCAGAAGGGUGCUCCGUUCAGGUGUAUGAUGAUUACUAGUUGAGCUUUUAGAUGCUCAAGAUCGCUCUGACUAUAACACUAGUGUUAGUGUUUCCCUUCGAUUCGGGGAUGUAUACUGUGUACUAUGAUGCCUCACCCAUUGUCUUGGGUUGUGUGUUGAUGCAGGAGGGGUGAGUUAUUGCAUAUGCUUCAUGUCAGCUGAAGCCACACGAGAAGAAUUACCUCGUACAUGAUUUGGAGUUGGCCGCGAUAGUUCAUUCUCUCAAGAUCUGGAGGCAUUAUCUUUAUGGGGUGUCCUAUGAGGUUUGCAUCGAUCACCGCAGUUUGCAGCAUUUGUUUAAGCAGAGGGUUCUUAAUCUGAGGUAGCGUAUGUGGCUUGAGUUACUAAAGGACUAUGAUAUCACUAUCCUUUAUCAUCCGGGCAAUGCGAAUAUAGUUGCAGAUGCCUUGAGUAGAAAGGCUGAGAGUAUGUUGGCUUUGGACAUUCAGUCCUUAGCUAACAGACUUGUAAGGUUGGAUAUUUCAGAGCCCAAUCGGGUUCUUGCAUUAGUUGUGGAUGAGUCUUCAUUAUUUGAGCAGAUCAAGGCUCACCAAUAUGGUGAUCCACACUUGGUGUUCCUUAUGGAGAUGGUGCUACGGGGUGAUGCCAAGGAGGUUACUAUUGGUGAUGAUGGUGUUCUACCACUCUAGGGUCGCCUAUAUGUUAAUAAUGUUGAUGGUCUGAAAGAGAUUUAUAGGAAGCACACAAUUCACGGUAUUCUAUUCAUCCAGGUGCUAUUAAGAUGUAUCGUGACCUGAGGCAGCAUUACUGGUGGCGGCGGAAGAAAAAGGAUGCAGUCGAGUAUUUGGCGAGGUGUCUGAAUUGCCAGCAGGUUAAGUUUGAAUACUAUAGGCCAGGUGGCCUACUUCAGUAGAUGGUUAUAUCGGAGUGGAAGUGGGAGCACAUCACCAUGGAUUUUGUAGUUGGGUUUCCGCGGACGUUGAGGAGGUUCGAUGAUUUUUGGGUCACUGUCGACAGACUGAUCAAAUCUGCACACUUUAUUCUGGUGGUGAAUGCGUACUCUUCAGAGAGGUUGACCCAGAUUUAAAUCCUGGAGAUUGUCUAAUUGCAUGGUAUGCGUAUCUCUAUUAUUUCAGAUAGAGGCCUUCAGUUUACUUCACACUUCUGGAGAGCAGUACCGUGUGAGUUGGGCACCCGGGUAGAGCUUAGCAUAGCUUUUAAUCUGCAGACCAACGGGCAGUCAGAGCGGAUGGUUCAGAUUCUAGAGGAUAUGCUUAGAGCAUGUGUUAUUGACUUCGGAGGGCAAUGGGAUCGAUUCUUACCAUUGGCCGAGUUUGCUUAUAAUAACAAUCAUCAGUCUAGCAUCGAGAUGGCUCCAUUCGAGGCUAUAUAUGGUCGGCAAUGUCCCCGUCGGUUGGUUUGAGCCUGGUGAGGCUAGGUUAUAUGGUACUGAUUUGGAAAAGGAUGCCUUAGAUAAGGUGAAGUUAAUUCAUGAGCGGCUUCGCACAACACAGUCCAGACAGAUGAGUUAAGCGAAUCAGAAAGCAUGUGACUUAUCAUUUAUGGUGGGUAAGAAAGUUCUCCUGAAGGUCUCGCCGAUGAAGGGUAUCAUGAGGUUCGGAAAGAAGGUUAUGCUGAUUCCGAGGUUUAUUGGCCCAUUUGAGGUCUUGAAGCGAGUUGGGGAGAUUGCUUAUGAGCUUGCUUUGCCUCCCAAUCUAUCAGGAUUUCAUCCGGUUUUCUAUGUGUCUAUGCUCCAGAAGUACCAUACCGACAGGUCGCAUGUUUUAGACUAUAGCACAGUUUAGCUAGAUGAGAUCUUGGGUUAUGUGAAGGAGCCAGUUGCCAUUUUUGACAGGCAGGUUCGCCAAUUGAGGUCUAAGAAGAUUGAUGCGGUAAAGGUCCAGUGGGGGGGCCAACCAGUCAAAGCGGCGACUUGGGAGGCCGAGGAAGACAUGCAAGCAAAUAUCCUCACUUAUUCAGCACUCCAGGUAUGAUUCUAGACCUGAUAGAGGACGAACGUUUGUUUAAGAGGUGGAGAAUGUAACGACCUGACCGGUCGUUUUGCUUUACAGAUCCCCAUUCCCCUAUUUAAGACUUCUCGUAUGUGCAUUUACUAUUUUUUUACUUGCGGGGGUAGUUGGUUUGGUUUUGGAAGGGUUCGGGUUGAAUUCGGAACACGUUCCAUAAUAGUGGCCUAAGGUGGCCGAGUUUGACUUGAGUCAAUGCUUUGAGUAAACGACAUCAGAAUCGGGAUUUAAAGGUCUAAAUAGGUUCAUAUGAUGAUUUUGGACUUGGGCGUAUGUUCGUAUCGAGAUUUGGGUAGGCCGAGAGCGUUUCGGCGCUUAUUAUUGAAAGUUGGCAUUUUGAAGGUUUUAGAAUUUCCUACGGUUUUAGAAUUUCCUAGGUUUUAGAAUUUUAAUGUUAGUUGUGGCUCUUCGAGCCUAGGUUUAAAGAUUGAUUUUAUCGUCAAUUCGUGAUUUUGAUGUUUGUUUGUGUGGUGAUGUUCGCGAACGCUGCUGAGUUAGAUUGGUUGGCCUGGGUUUGGAAGGUUAUUCGUCGCGAACACUUGGUCAUGAACAUGAUCGCGUAGGGUAAUUUCUAAGGUUGGGGUUUAUUGCCUUCGCAUUUGCAGGGAUUGGCUCGUGUUCGUGUACGCUCGCCUGCUAAGCUUCGCGAUCGCGAGCUAUUUAUCGUGUUCACGUAUGAGUAUUUCGGGGCGAGGUUUAUGUGAUCUUCGCGAUCGCGUGGGCUUUUCCGCGAUCGCGUAGAAGGACGCCUAGGCAGAUUUAAUGUUAGCAAGGUCGGGAUUUUCUAAUUUUCAACUAAUUUAGCCCUAGCUUUCACGAUUUUUGGGCGAUUUGGAGGAGCCAUUUUCAUCAUCAAUCUUGAGGUAAGUGAUUUCUUCAUAUUGUGAUCUAAAAUCAUGGAUUAUAUAUGGAUCUAAAUAUGGAAUUUGUUCAAAUUUGGGGAUUUUGGAAGAAAACCUAGAAUUUGAUAUUUUUGGAUUUUGACCACGUAAUUGGACAAGAGAUUAAGAAUAAAUUAUAUAUUUGAGUUCGUGAGGUCAUGGGUGACGUUUUAUUCGAAUAUUUUCGAAAUCCAGGCACGUAGGCCGGGGGUGACUUUUAUGGACUUUCCGAAUUUGGUUCGGAAAUUAAUUGGGUAGUUAAAUUAUGAAAUUUUGAACAUAUAUUUAUUAGUCUAUACAACUUUUGAUUAGUUUCGGAUUUCUCGCCGUCGUUUGAGGAGUUCUAGUGAGGUUAAAGAGACGGAUUGAGGACUUGGAAGUGAGGUAAGUCUCUUGACUAACCUUGUAAGAGGUAAUUUAUCCCCUUAGGUGUAUUGAUUGUUGUGUGCUACUUGUUGUAGGGAGCUACAUACUCACGGGGUGGCGAGAAUCCGUAUGUAUCUAUAUCUAUGUUAUGUCCGAUUAGACUUAGAUUCACAUCAUGUCUUAAUUGUGUUAUUCGUACCCAUCCUACGUAUUUGAUUUCUUUAAUUUAUGACUGAGAUUGAAGUUAGAAUAAAAUAUUGUCUUAGCCUCUUACUAUGGAAAAUUGUGAAUUACUUGAUGAGCUAUAGAUCCAUGUCUUCUCGACUCACAUGUAUUUUUGCGAGCGAGGUAAUUUAUCUACUCUAAUGGGAUCGGGUUGUUCGCCCCGGCGGGGAUGUAAAUUAGUAUUAUGGGAUCAGGCCAUUCGCCUCGGCAAUAUAGUUACACUUUUCUUGUGGAAUCGGGUCGUUCGCCUCGGCAGUACUGAGUGUCACUUUCCUAUGGGAUCGGGUCGUUCGCCUUGGCAGACUCAUGCUUAAUACUUGAGAUAUGAAUUGAUUAUGAUAACAAUUGAGUUAGAGCCUUCGAGGCUGCUUAUGACAUUUAGUGAUUUGAUAUAGGUCCAUCUUGGAGAUUUACUAUUGAUGCUUUGUCUGUUUCAUUUCUACUUGUUGUACAUCCUCCAUGUCUACUUUAUGUAUUUUAUUACUUUUUGACCACUAGUAAGUGUCAACUCGACCCCUCUCACUACUUCUUCGAGGUUAGACUAGAUACUUACUGGGAAUGCAUUGUUUUACGUACUCACGCUAUACUUCUACACUGAAUGUGCAGGUACUAAGACAUGAACUUCCAGUAGUCACAUGGGCGCGUAGCCGCACUUCCACGGAGACUUAGUAGUGAGCUUCUUGCCUUGCUUAGAUCUGCAGCACCGGAGUCUCCCUUUACAUUGUUUAUUGUUUAUCUCUAUUAUACUUUGGACAGUAGUUGUAUGAGUUUUGUAUAUUUUAUAGAUUGCUCAUGCACUUGUGGCACCGGAUUUUGGGGGCUUCUAGCAUUUAUGUACUGUUGUACUUAUUAUUACUAUCACCAUGGUUUAUGUAUUCCUCACACUUGAAAUUUUUAACAAAGUGGUAUGUACGGUUGCAUGAGAUCUUACCUAUUUCGGUGUUUUAAAGGAAACUUCUAUUUUUAAUAGUUAAAAAGGGUUAAUUAAAUUGGAGGUUCACGUGUGGGCUUGCCUAACGGCAGUGUUAGGCGCCAUCGCGACCUAUUACAUGUUUUGGGUCGUAACACAAAGAAUAUACAACUUGAAAUAUGUGACACAAAGAAUAUACUACUUGAAGCAUUGUGAUACAAAGAAUAGAAGUUGUAGUAUUGGAGAACCUGUAAUCCUUCAAGUAAUUGAUCAAGUCCGCUGUGGUUGGAACCUGAAGAUAUCCCCAGAAUAGUCGCCAUGUUAUUGUACUCUAUUUUACACAAGUCAAAACAACUUAAAACAUACGGUACUCUACAAGGUUAUUUAAAGUUUAUAGUCGCCACCAAGUAUUUAAGGUACACUAGGACACAUAUACUACACAAUAUAAUGUAUACUUUGAUUAUGGUAUGCGGAACUAUAGAUAUUCUAGGUAAGGGUUCAAAUUCUCUCAAGGGGUAGGUAUUAGGCAUCUCUCGAGAUCCAGAAAAUGUGGUUUCGGUGGACUCAAUUAACUAAAAGAGGGAUUAAGUGAACAGUUAUCUGCAACUACUUUGGAAGAUAAUUUUAGCAAAAUCGAUUUAUCUUAAAUAGUAUGUAGUACGAUGUAAGUAUUCAUAUAUGUAGGAAAAUAUGCGUAAUAAGAUAAAUAAACAAGUAUGAAAGUCAUUAUGCUUACAAAUAAAUACAAGAGACGUAUAUUAACAACUAAACAAUUUGAACUUAAAAGAAUAAAGAAAUUGUCCAAUGGGUAAUCGCUUUGAAUAAGAUAUGUAAAAGAAUGUUUAUCUGUUAUGAUUUAAGAGAAGGAGAAGAGAAUCCUUUAAUAAAUAAAUAGCUAACAAAACAAUUGGUUAGGAAUAAACAAAGUAUGAAAUAAAUUACUAACAGGAAUGAGCAAAAGGAUUAUUUUCACAUAAAAUCAAGGAAUGUAUAAUGUAAUAAAGCUUUCAAAACCUUUAAAGGAUUUGAUAAAAAUUAUUAAUUAUGGUAAAACUAUGUUGAUAACUAACAAAGGAUAUAUACAAAUUAAUCAACUUAAGUAUAGAAACUCGAUAAAAUUAUCAAUGAAAAAGAACCUAAUAUUUUCAUGGAAGUAUAUAGAGUCCGAUUUAUUUACAAGUAGCAAGUUACUUGAGUUAUUUACUACGUUAUGAAUAUUUGAACAACUAAAUUAAUGAUUAACGUUGCAUGAUAUUCUAAAUGUAGCUAAUCUAACAUAUCCAAGUGAACAUAAACUAAAUGCAUCGGUUAAUGAAUGAAUGAGUGCGAUAUCUAACUAAUUCUUAACUAUACUUAUGUUUUGAGUACAACCAAGAAAGAAAAUUAUGAAGCGGAUAGUUUGAUGAAGGGAUUUGUGCUUCGUCUCUGAGCGCCGUCUUGCCAAAUUGCUUAUGGAUAAACUACCUCGCAGAAUAAGACAACAAACGUUAGUGAAAUAAAAUUAUGUAAAAAUAAACUAUUCAAGUGACAUAUUUUUAAACGAUUGUUUUGUUCGAAAAUGUUUUAAAAAAUUAUUUUUGAAAAAGGUUUUGGAAAAUAGUCAAGAAAUAUUAUAGGAGGCUCAGAUAGUAUUUUUUAUUUCCGUUUAGACAUAAGACUAAGAACCGUCUUAGUUGCGACUAAGGUGGACAAUCUUGUUGCCGUCCAAAUGUUAUUGGUUCGUCGCAUUUUUGUCUCUUUCUUUCCUAUGUUAUCAUCAUCGCCUCUUUAUUUCGGACCCAGUCUGGAGGGUCAAUUGGCGGGUCGUAGCCUCAAUAACGUAGAAAUUAUUUUCAGCAGCCUAUUCUUGUGGUAUUAUUGUAUUGUAUAACUCCAACCAAUAUCUGUCAUCAAGAGGCAACGAGAAUAGGAGCAACAUAUUACCACAAAUUAAUCAGAAGACAAAAAAAUAUCAUAGUAGCAACAACAAAAUCAGUAAAGGAAUGAAAUUCCUCUUAGCGUGGAAGUACAAAUCAAUGAAAACUAAGUUCAAUAGCUAACAGCACCCAAGAGGUGAAACAUCUCCAGCCAAAAUCGAUGAAAAACAGUGAGCCAACCUGAUAUCUCCCUUGAUGUAGCCACUCAAAAGAUUUGUCGUUCUUUUAGCACUAAAGAUAAUGAAAUCAAAUGUUGAUACUCAAAAGGACAUUACAACUUAAAAGCAGUGGCCAUGUUAUUCAAAAACAGUAAAAGCCACAACACAAGCAGCCGAAGAAAUAUCAAUAAAACACUAGCAACCCAAGAUAGAAAUUCGCCGAAAACCUAAAGCCGACCAAAAUAGGAAUGGAAAAAUACAAAAACUUCACUGAAAAAUUAAUACCGGCCAUGUACGAGGACAAACCCAGAUUUGAGGAUUCCUUUUAAUGGAUGCUGCCACCAUGGUUUUAGCUUGAGCAGCGGCACAAAGGAAGAGAAUGGCCAGCGUCGUCGGAAUCCCAUUUCUCCGUCCAAACAUUUCCAGGUCCGGAUUCACCAAUAGCAGGCCUAAAAUGAGAAUAAAAGGCAAAGGGUUACAAGAACCAAAAGAAGGGGGGAACAUGGGAGCUCGUUUGGCUUCGCCGGUGACAAUGGAGGGAGUGGUGUGAGAAGCGGUGGAAGCCAUGGAAGUCGCUGUCAAGCCUGCCUGGGUCAAGGCCGGUGGCGGCAAAAGGGAAUGAGACAGUUGAGAGAGGUAUGGGGUUGGCUGUGGAGAGGACGGGGAGCCGCUAUUGAGAUCUUUUAGAGAGAGAAGGGGAGUUGGGAAUAGGGGAUGUGGUUGUUCUCUCUAGAGUGAGUAUAAGAGAUAAGAGAAAAAAUAUUUAGGGUUUUAAACCUAUGUAGAAAAUCUGAUUUCGUAUGAUGUGUAGUGUAUUAUAGGUGAAAAAUAAAAUAUUGGAUGUGGG